rnacentral:rRNA from 1 species
AGGACGAACGCUGGCGGCGUGCUUAACACAUGCAAGUCGAACGAGGCCCUACCUUCGGGUAGGUGACCUAGUGGCGAACGGGUGAGUAACACGUGGGCAACCUACCCUCAGCUCUGGGAUAACCCCGGGAAACCGGAGCUAAUACCGGAUAUGACCUUGAACGACAUCGUUCUUGGUGGAAAGUUUUUCGGCUGAGGAUGGGCCCGCGGCCUAUCAGCUUGUUGGCGGGGUAAUGGCCCACCAAGGCGACGACGGGUAGCCGGCCUGAGAGGGCGAUCGGCCACACUGGGACUGAGACACGGCCCAGACUCCUACGGGAGGCAGCAGUGGGGAAUAUUGCGCAAUGGGCGAAAGCCUGACGCAGCGACGCCGCGUGAGGGAUGAAGGCCUUCGGGUUGUAAACCUCUUUCAGCAGGACGAAGCGAAGUGACGGUACUGCAGAAGAAGCACCGGCAACUACGUGCCAGCAGCCGC